rnacentral:rRNA from 1 species
GAUGAACGCUAGCGGCAGGCUUAACACAUGCAAGUCGAGGGGCAGCAUAAAUAGUAGCAAUACUAUUGGUGGCGACCGGCGGACGGGUGCGUAACGCGUAUACAACCUUCCCUAAACAGGGGGAUAAUCUGGAGAAAUUCGGUCUAAUACCCCAUAACAUCAGAGCAGGCAUCUGUUUUGGUUAAAAUUUCCGGAGGUUUAGGAUGGGUAUGCGUAGCAUUAGCAAGUUGGUGAGGUAACGGCUCACCAAGGCGACGAUGCUUAGGGGGACUGAGAGGUUAACCCCCCACACUGGUACUGAGACACGGACCAGACUCCUACGGGAGGCAGCAGUGAGGAAUAUUGGUCAAUGGGCGGAAGCCUGAACCAGCCAUGCCGCGUGCAGGAUGGCGGCUCUAUGAGUUGUAAACUGCUUUUGUACGAGGGUAAAGUGGGCUACGUGUAGCCUUUUGAAAGUAUCGUACGAAUAAGGAUCGGCUAACUCCGUGCCAGCCGCCGCAGUAA